rnacentral:lncRNA from 1 species
CAGAACCUGAGGGGUUAAAUACUGCUUUGCACAAGGCUGCAUCUCGUGUCUUGGUCUGUGCUGCAGCUGCUGUUCCAGUCCUCCACUUCCUUUGAGUGGAGGCUUUCGCUUGGAGCUGUAGGAGGAGGCUCCUCUGCCUCCCACAGUUCAGUACCAGAGUGGAAGGUUACGUGCUGCCAUUACUUACUUGCUGUGGUGUUUCUUUCAUUUGCCUCCACCUUUCACGAGCACCACCGUCUUUAUCCUGUUGCCUGCCUGAAUGUAGUUGAAUUGUCUCAGCCUGGAUGUAGCCCAGAUUUGUGAAAUGCACAGCAGUAGAAUUUGAGUUUUCAAGUGAAAUAACUCUUCCUUGUCUGAACCGUCCUUCAAAAUGCGGGAUUAGAAGUUUCCUACCACAUCAUCUUUAGGACUCCCAGAAAAUUCUUCUGCAGCUUGUGGCUGCCCGGAAAAGGAUGUUGUAGUAGUCUGGCAAAAUGAACUCAAGAUGCACAAGAAGAACAUACUAGAGACUGAUCUGCAAGGUGUUCAGUGUUUUUGAACCUUGAGCCAGACCACUGGCCUUCAGAAAUAUCCCCAGUCUGAUUUUGGAACCAGAAGAAAAGAGCAGGAAACUGCUGUCGGAAGCUGGUAAUGUAGAAUUAGAAAAUGUUUCUCUUCAACUUUCAAGAGUGAUAUUAUUUUCCUAUAAGAAAGAUUAAUUGUAUCUAAAUCAUUUUAACUUUUAAAGUGUUUAACUACUCAGUUACACGUUUCAUUGAAAAGAGUUCAUGCUGUAAGACAGGAGAAAUGAGCCUUAUCCAAAUUCUGCUGACAAUAGAUAGGAAGAAUAGUAUCUGAGAAUAUUCUAUAAUCUGAAAUUAAGAGCGAGUUUUGUAGCCAGAGGAGAAAAAUUGGUGGUCAAAUCAAAUAUCCUGUACGUUAGAUGUGAAUUACAGACCUUACUUAGUUCAAAAGCUCAUAAGCAUGGGGAAAAUAAACUUGACUUUGAAUGUCAGGUUGCGAUCAUUUUAGCACAUCUGAUUCCCUCAAAAUAAGAAAAAUCUAAAAGUCAGAUUUUCCUUUUAGAAAUCUCAAACUAUAUAUAAUUUGGAUAACAAUGAGUAACAAGCUGCUUUAGAAGGGAAACUUUUUUCCUUCUUUGAGGAAAAAAUUGCACAUAAUACUUAGCUGCAAAACUUUUUUACUUCUAAAAGUAUCCCAGUAUCUGUUUUUCUAAAUAAAUUGCAGUUAUAAUAAAACUACUCACGACUGUUGUUACAUUUGAGAAAUUUUUAUUCAUUUUAGUUUUCAGAGGAGUAGUUCUAUUUCUGAAGUUUUCUGUGAUUUUGGGACCUGAACAACUUGAAAUCAGUAUAUUAACACAGUAUUUCUAUAAGACGAUGGCAUUCUAAGUGGAACUUUCCAGAGUGGAAAACUUCACUCUUAAAGCCCUAGUAUGUCUCAUUCCAAAAAACUCUGCAUUGAGUGUAGAAAGUAUUAGUAAAAAAAAAAAAAAGUAUUAGUGCAGGACAUGAUGCAAGAUUAUUCCAGUUAAUUGUAUAAGCCAGUUCUUUCAUUCCUAUUUGCUUCAUCUUGUAACUAUGGCAAUGGUUUCAGAAAGUGCUGGAAUAUUGGCUAUUUUUUUUAAAUUGAUUCAGUGUUGAAUGGUGACAGUGAUGUGUGGUUGCUGCUGACGAUGAUGUUUGGAUUUCAAAAUGACAUCUUUGCACCUAUUAUGCAGCCCAAGCUUGAGCAAAGCAAAUGUAGCAGUAGUAGUUAAAUAUCAGCUGUAAAAUCCAAAUAUGGUGAGGGUGCUGGGGAAGAAGAAAAAAAUAAAAAUUAACUUAACUGACUGCUUUCACAUUGCAAGUUCCAGAACUUGUGGUCUAAAAGUUUGGGUUCUUUUGCUUAUGUUCAGAAAGAUAAAUGAUUUUGUUUCCCCUUCUUCUGUGAGGCAGAAGUUGGACCUCAGUAUCAUAUAUUAAACAAUAAAGUGUUACGUGCGGAAGGAAGAGAAUUUAAGAUGUGAAUUAAGUUUGGGUUAUAAUAUAACUGACAACAAAACACCAGAGAAGAGACAUGAGCUGGGAUGAGAUGAAAUGAGACGAGACAUGAAAGAACGGGUAAAUUGAUGACUUAUCAGCCUACAGAUGGGAUGUGAAGAUAUGUGAGUGGAGAAUGAGAUCAUCACCGGGAAGUACACUAGGGGAAAAGAAGGGGUUUCACAGGAAAGGUCCCAGUAGUCUCUUAUGGAUAGUGGGAGGAUUGAUUUAAUCCACAGGAAAAUGAAUAUGAAAAAUGAUAUAAAGGUGGGCUGGCUUCCAAACCUCAGAGUGGCUUGAUUUUUUUCGCAAUGUACUUCAAAAAAAAAUGAAAUAAAAACACUGAGUAUGACCCUGAACCUCGAGCAGUAUGUGGGAUCUGUGCACCUUGAUGGUAUUCCCACCUAGCUAAAACUACAUAAACAUGCUUUCAAUUUUGGUAAUGAAAGGCAAUUUUCAGCAUUUUAAGGAAACUACUGCGUUGCUUAGAAUAAAGAG